AUGCAACGUGCUAAUAAUGCCGAAUUGAUAGACUACCUGAAGCCACAUAUAAACAAUCAAGUAUUGUUCUCUCAAAAAAGGUUGUAUUUACUUCAUAAGAAAAGUCUCCUUCCUCCUCCCGUUGGCGCUGUCGCUGAUCCACCUCACCUUCUAUGGCCUUUGGUUUAUGGAGGUGCGGACGAUCUCGGCCCCCCGUCGGUGGGAGGGAUUCCAUUCUCGUUUUUGUUAGGUUCAGCGUCUUGGUUGGGCUGUGUGGCGAUGGCGAUGUCUCUUAGUAGGAAUAAUGUCUCCAACGUUGUAUCCCCAUUCCAACGAUACGAAUAG
rnacentral:rRNA from 1 species